GGAGAGAUGGUUGAGCGAACCAAAGCGACGGAUUACUAAUCUGUAGUAGGAAUUAUCCAUACUGAGGGUUCGAAUCCAUCUCUCUCCG
rnacentral:tRNA from 1 species